rnacentral:rRNA from 1 species
UACGUAGGGUGCAAGCGUUGUCCGGAAUUAUUGGGCGUAAAGAGCUCGUAGGCGGUUUGUUGCGUCGGCUGUGAAAUCCCGAGGCUCAACCUCGGGUCUGCAGUCGAUACGAGCAAACUAGAGUGUUGCAGGGGAGACUGGAAUUCCUGGUGUAGCGGUGAAAUGCGCAGAUAUCAGGGGGGAACACCGGUGGCGAAGGCGGGUCUCUGGGGCAACAACUGACGCUGAGGAGCGAAAGCGUGGGGAGCGAACAGG